rnacentral:rRNA from 1 species
UACAGAGGGUGCGAGCGUUGUCCGGAAUCACUGGGCGUAAAGGGCGCGUAGGUGGCGCUGCAAGUCGGUGGUGAAAGCUCGAUGCUCAACAUCGAGUCGGCCAUCGAAACUGCAGGGCUGGAGCACUGUAGGGGCAGAUGGAAUUCCGGGUGUAGCGGUGGAAUGCGUAGAGAUCCGGAAGAACACCGGUGGCGAAGGCGGUCUGCUGGGCAGUUGCUGACGCUGAUGCGCGACAGCGUGGGGAGCAAACAGG